UUUCAUUUGGUUGUCGGUAUUUCUUUGUUGAACUGAGAAAUUAUAGAUAAGAUUUUUACAUAACUUCAUGUAUUAUCCUACAAUAGUUAGUUCUGAGCUGAGCAGAACAGCAACUAACCACUUCCUUUUCUCAGCGCCUCCUCCACAAAUACAUGUACAAGCGCAACGUGAAGCUCCACUUUGUCUUCCUCUGUCUGAUGGACAUCAUGUCUAGCCUGAACCAAGUAGCGCUGCUCUUCAUUCAGCUCUCUGGGAUGUGGCAUGUCUUUGCAGCUUCUUCUCUUACAGUUGACUACAGGGACAUGCUGGUGUCCAGAGGAGGAUUAGCCGAGUUCAUCUGCAACACAUCCGACAGAAAUGUCACACAAAUCAGCUGGAUAAAAGGCGGAUCUUCUUACACACAUAGCAUCUUUCACAAUCAGACACAAUCAAAUUUCUCCUCUAACAGAGUGACAAUAGACCAUAACUUACCUAAAAAGCUGAGUAUUAUUGAUGCUCAACCUGAGGAUGAAGGAUUUUAUACAUGUAAUGUAACUGACUUUUUUGGCUUACACACUAUCAAGUGGAAAUUAACUGUGUCUGGGAACGCAGCUAUCCAUCCACUGCAUUUGGUAUACAUCCUGGCUUCUUCGAUUUCAUUUCUUCUGUGUGGCAUCAUGUUGUCAGCGCUCUGUCUUUGCAGAAAGUUUAGGACCAGGACAAGGAAUCAGGAUCCAGACCAGGACCAGUCUGGAGGAGAGGGCGGCACAGGCAGCAGGACAAAUAACAACAGGAGUCAGUACAAAGAGAGGCUGAAUUCAAUCUAUGGUCACUUCUGAGCUGAAGAGACGUUCAAAUGACAGCUUCAAAGAUACAUGGACAAGAAGGAGAAGAAAUUUGAUGGACGUUCUGUUUUAUUUUGUCACUUUCAAAGCAGGUAUUAAAAAGGAAGGCCAACAGAGGGAGGACAGGCGGACAAAAGGAUACCUUAUCUUUACUUAUCUUUUAUAUUUAUGGUUUUAAUAUGUUCUUAUGCAUGAAUGUUUUAACAGUAGCAUUGCACAGUGAAUGUCGUUCUGAUUUUCAAAAUAAUUUCCGAACAAUAUUUGUCAUAAUGACAUUAAAGUUACCUCAAAUCAACCCAAAAGUGGGGCCUGGCCAUCGUAGAGCUUCGUAAUAUGAAAGUCUCUUAUGUUUUAAACUAUUUACUUUUCAUGUACAGUUUUAUUUUCAGUUAGUCCAGCAGAGUAGACAAAUGUGAGCUGCUCUGCUGCUUUACACAAGGAGUGAAUGAGGUUUAUACUGUGAAUAUACAGGCGCACAAAAUGGUGUAAAACUUGAUGGUUAACAUCGGUCGGAAGUCAGAUCCGGUUUGUGUAACAGUGUCUUCUGAGCCAUACAAGCUGUUGACUCCCGCAGGCACGUACAGCUCACUGAGACCUGAUUAUGUUAAAUAUUUGACACACUGUGAGCAUGCUCAGCAGCAGGUUCACACUACGCGGUUAAGCUGUCUUCACCACUAGAAGUGCUUUUCCUGUUGUGUCACCUCAUGUACAGUUUAUAAUUGAGUUCAUUAAAUGAUUAAGACCAAUAAAAUCAUUGUCAGGGUAUUAUCAAUUAACAAACAAUAAAUCACACUGCCGAUUUGAUUUUGACUUCAUUUUAUGCUCCAUUAAAUGCGUUUUUUAAACUUCGACUAACCACUUCCGCUUCUUGUCACCCCCGCUACAAAACACAUGUAAAACUUCAGUUUAGUCAGACUCCACUUUGUCUUCCUCUGAUGGACAUCAUGUCUAGCCUGAACCAAGUAGCGCUGCUCUUCAUUCAGCUCUCUGGGAUGUGGCAUGUCUUUGCAGCUUCUUCUCUUACAGUUGACUACAGGGACAUGCUGGUGUCCAGAGGAGGAUUAGCCGAGUUCAUCUGCAACACAUCCGACAGAAAUGUCACACAAAUCAGCUGGAUAAAAGGCGGAUCUUCUUACAUACAUAGCAUCUUUCACAAUCAGACACAAUCAAAUUUCUCCUCUAACAGAGUGACAAUAGACCAUAACUUACCUACAAAGCUGAGUAUUAUUGAUGAUCAACCUGAGGAUGAAGGACUGUAUACAUGUAAUGUAACUGACUUUUUUGGCUUACACACUAUCAAGUGGAAUUUAAUUGUGUCUGGGAACCACAAAGGUAGGUAAAGCACAAAGCAAUCUAAUAAUUUCUACAUAUCACAUAACACGCCACAUGCUACUUAAUUUAAUUCAUUGUUUAUUUCAUGCAGAUAUCCACUCGUCAAGGUAUUUGGCACUCACAUCUGUUAUCGGACCACUUCUGUGCUGCACCAUAUUAGUUCUCAUCAUCUACAGAGGACAGUGGAGCAGGACUGCAGAUGAGAACCUGUACAACAGCAACACCAUGACCUGGGUCCUGUAUCAUGUUCCGUUAGGAGGAGAGGUGACCCCUCCACAACCUCAAAGUUAUGCAGUCUAUGAGGACAAAUCGCACAGAGAAUGAGAGACUUUGAGAAGCUCCAUUCAGUCUGCUGGGCUGACGAAAGGGACUUCAGGUCAAAGCUGAGUAACAAAGAACAGACAUGUUGGACAGGAAGCAGAAAAGGCAAAUAGAGCAUCAGUAUCAGUAACAGCCAAGCUUACUUUUCUGUUUCUGUAGAAUAAUGCCACCAGUUCUUUAGCAAACUCACAGCAGCUUACUCUUUCUGGCUUGGUAUGUAACCAUAAGAUAAUAUGUUUUAUUGUUAGUGAUUAUUCACACAUUUGGGGUUGUUUGUAGUUUAUCUGCUUUGGCUUUUGUGCAUGCAAAACAUCUGUCUUUGCACAUAUUUUAAGGUUUUUUUGUGUGUGUCCAGCUUAUUAUUUUAAAGAUUUUCUCAGGUUCUUGCAAAAAUAUAUAAAAUGUUUAAAACCAUGUUCUGAUUUUCUACUAUUGCAACACAGGUAUUAAAACAUCAGCAAUCUGUCAUUGAUGCAAAACUGUUUUGCAAAUGUGAGAUUUAAUUGGCUCGAACUUUGUAACCUUGUACAAGUUAUAAAGGAAAUAAACAACAGACAUUAUCUCACAA